rnacentral:rRNA from 1 species
AUUGAACGCUGGCGGUAUGCCUUACACAUGCAAGUCGAACGGUAACAGGUCUUCGGAUGCUGACGAGUGGCGAACGGGUGAGUAAUACAUCGGAACGUGCCUAGUAGUGGGGGAUAACUACUCGAAAGAGUGGCUAAUACCGCAUGAGAUCUACGGAUGAAAGCAGGGGAUCGCAAGACCUUGUGCUACUAGAGCGGCCGAUGGCAGAUUAGGUAGUUGGUGGGAUAAAAGCUUACCAAGCCGACGAUCUGUAGCUGGUCUGAGAGGACGAUCAGCCACACUGGGACUGAGACACGGCCCAGACUCCUACGGGAGGCAGCAGUGGGGAAUUUUGGACAAUGGGCGCAAGCCUGAUCCAGCAAUGCCGCGUGCAGGAUGAAGGCCUUCGGGUUGUAAACUGCUUUUGCACGGAACGAAAAGCCCCGGGUUAAUACCCUGGGGUCAUGACGGUACCGUAAGAAUAAGCACCGGCUAACUACGUGCCAGCCGCCGCGGUAA